ncrna:unclassified sequences manA RNA
UGUUGGACGCAACAUGGGAGUGACUGAAUAAACUUACUGGCAACUGCUGGUUAAGGUGAUGAGACACAGGUGGUGCUGCUGCAGCGAUGCAGAACCGAUUCAACCAAUCGGGUCUCAGGCAAUAACGUUUUUACUACUGUAGUAAUGCCCGUUAUUUGUUGGUACACAGGAAUCCAACCUCCCUCUUU